CUCAGACUUGCCAUCUUCCUGCCUCUGCCUCCAAAAUAGCUGGAAUUAUAGGUGUCUACCUAGCUGGACAAGUUUUUAAGUUUAUAGGUGCCUUAGUCUUCUCUGUACAUUGGGGACACUAAUAGUCACCUCACAGGUUGCUGUAAGGAAUGAAGGAGGUGAUUCUUGUAAAACACUCAGCAAAGCUCCUCAGAGUUAGUGUUCAAUAAAUGGCUGUUGUCACUUAUACUUCCAGGCACCCUAGUCAUGGCCAUAACAUCCUAAUGUUUGUGACUAUACCUUCACGUGGCCUCAGUGGUGGUUUGCUUCUGUCUGUUCAACCUCUCUGCAGCUUAGCGACAGAGUGAUGACCUAGGCAUUAUAUAGCAGGCACUGAGUCACACCAAGAUGGCCAGAACACCCUCUUCCUCCCGAAGGAGCUUUGAGCCCAGCAGGGAUGACAGGACAGGAAGCCCAAGAUCCGAAACACAUGGGGAAGUAGAAGGAUGAGUAAGGCCUGGUGGUACAGAGGAGGAAGUGGAGUGCUUCAUCUGUAUACAUAGAAGAAGUGAAACAAGAGUCAACAUUAUGGGAUGAAUUUUUGUCACUGGACAUGGGAAAUAGGACUUUCCAUGCGAAGGGAAUUGAGGUGAGGGUGACUGAGUUGGCGUGGAGUUGAGGUGCUUCCUAGAAAAGCAUAGGACUGUUGUUGGGUUCGAGUUCGUACACAGCCCUCAGUGCCCUGCUAAGGCACCAGACCAGAGGUGAUGGGCAGCCUCUUUUCUCCUUCUUCCUAAUGAGAGUCUUGCUAUACAGUUCAGGCUGGCCUGGAACUCUCAGCGAUCCUCCUGCCUCAGCCUCCCAAGUGCUGGGAUCACAGGUGUGCACCCCCACCCCCGGCACAGUGGGCUGUUUCUGAAGGACUUGAAGCACAGUAGUCUUGUGAUCAGACUUGCAUGUUAGAGAGCUCUUUCUGGCAGCUGUUAGGGGAAUGAUUGGAGUGGCAGGGAGACCCAAGGCAAAGAUUGGCUAAAAUGAUAACCUUAGCCAGGGAGGAGGGGCCAUUGAGAUGAGCAGUGACCGUGGGCACAAUCUUUGUGUGUGCCCUUGUAUAUUUUCUCACUUCAGUCUGUGUCUUGUCUCCCCAGUUACGUCUGUAAGCUCCUUAAAAGAUCUCUCAAAUUCCUUUUUAAAGGUUCCUUCACCAGUGGAAUGAACCCCCACCAGGUGUUGACUCAGUAAAGGUCUGUACAGAACCAGCCUUUCUCUCCUGUAAGCCUCCUCUUGACCAGCCAUGUGCCCAGGCCGGACAGGGAGAGGUGUUUCCUCUGUGUGCGCAGAACUGUCUUGGGAGGUUGGGAAACGGAAACAGAAACAUGCCUGGACCUUUUCGAGACAAUGCCAGGGUAGAAAGGCUCAUCUCCUAACUUCUGAAUAAAAGUGUUGGCCUACUUCCUAUCACUUUGGGAGAAUCUCAGGCUGCUGGGUGCUGACAUGACCACGAUUCAUAUUAAAAUCUUUUCAUUUAUAGCUGCCUUAAAAAUAGAGUUAGAAACUGGACUUGGUGGCACAAACCUGUAAUCCCAGCACUCAGGAGGCUAAGGCAGGAGAAUGGCCCUGAGUUCAAGGCCAGCCUGAACUGUCUAGCAAGACCCUGUCUCAAAAGAACAAACAAAAAUAGAGUCAGCAUAGUCACUAAUGGACCCUGCUUCCUUUCUCUUGCUGGAUGCGGCCUGGCACACCUCAUACCUUCUGGGCCCUUGUGAAUGUGCUGCUUCUUUCACCCUCAGCCCCAUCCGGAGCCCACCUAGGGGGCGGGAGUUACUGGACAGAUCCCAGCAGGCUCAGCCACAGCUCCCCGCCUCUGCAGCUGGGGUUAUAAAUAACUACCAAAGCUAAACAGUCAAAUAACCACAUUUUGAAAACUGCUAAGAAAAAAAAAUCACUCUAGCCCAUCUCAAUAGCAAUUCUCCCACCCCUCUCCUUCAUCCACUCCCUUCCCUCCACUUAUCUGCUCCCUUCCCUGAUCCACACCCCUGGGGAACUCUGAGCACAAAGCUGUCUCAUGAUGAAGACAUCCUUUUCUAUAUUUGACAGGGCCAAAGCCCUCCAGGGCUGUAGUUCUAGUUGCAUGAUGUUGUUAUGGCAGCAGAGGCCUCGGGGCAACAUAUGUUCCUCACUGUAAUUGGGUUUUCUCUAACAGACCGGCUCUCCCUGGGUUCUCUGUACCCAAACUCACUUAACCGAGAAGGCCAAGGGAAUUGCCUUUACAGAUGGGUCUUCAUCCCACCCCCCCCCCCCCCCCCCCCCCCGCAAAACCGAUU
rnacentral:lncRNA from 1 species